rnacentral:rRNA from 1 species
AUAUUAAUAAGCGGAGGAAAAGAAACUAACAAGGAUUCCCCUAGUAACGGCGAGUGAAGCGGGAUGAGCUCAAGCUUAAAAUCUCCGUGCAAAAUUUGCAUGGCGAAUUGUAGUCUAUAGAGGCGUGAUUAGCGUAGGCACUUGGGGCAAGUUCCUUGGAAGAGGACAGCAUUGAGGGUGAUACUCCCGUUCCCUCCCGAGUUGCUUAUGCGUAUAAUCCGUUUUCUUUGAGUCGCGUUGUUUGAGAAUGCAGCGCAAAGUAGGUGGUAAAUUCCAUCUAAAGCUAAAUAUUGGUGCGAGACCGAUAGCAAACAAGUACCGUGAGGGAAAGAUGAAAAGAACUUUGAAAAGAGAGUUAAAGAGUACCUGAAACUGCUGAAAGGGAACCAAAUCGUUUCCAGUAUCUAUAAUCCGCGGUAUAUUUCAUUGGCGAAUGUGUGCGUGCAUGUACUAUGGCAGCGGCUUUUUGCUGCGCCUUGUGUGUGUUUCGCAUUUUCUCGCUGGUGCCCUGUACUGUGGUGGGACGUCAAUGUCGGUUCGUAUGCUGCGGGAAAUGACUGCCGAGGAGGUAGGGCGAACGCUUGCGUUUGUCUGUUACAUCUGGGCGGACUUAGUAGUCGUGGUUGGGACUGAGGUGCCUAUAAUGUGCUUAUGAGUGGGAUCGAAUCUCCAUGUGCGCCGUGUGCGGAUAGCUUGCUAUGCGUGUGUAGCUGUGUGUGGAUUGAGUCGAGACGUAACUUAUUGCCGUUCGGGACGUUGACGAAAUGGAGCGAUUUGACCCGUCUUGAAACACGGACCAAGGAGUCUAACAUGUGUGCAAGUGUUAGGGUGUGGAAACCCCAGCGCGUAAUGAAAGUAAAGGAUAGCGUAAGUUAUCUUAGGUAGGAAAUGCUGCGGGUUCGUCCUGCGGCGUGGCACUAUCGACCGAUCAUGAACCUUCGUGGUGAAAGAUUUGAGUUUGAGCACAUAUGUUGGUACCCGAAAGAUGGUGAACUAUGCCUGAGUAGGGUGAAGCCAGAGGAAACUCUGGUGGAAGCUCGUAGCGAUUCUGACGUGCAAAUCGAUCGUCAAACUUGGGUAUAGGGGCGAAAGACUAAUCGAACCAUCUAGUAGCUGGUUCCCUCCGAAAUUUCCCUCAGGAUAGCAGCAACUGAUUUACGAUAGUUUUAUGAGGUAAAGCGAAUGAUUAGAGGAUUCGGGGAAGAAAUUUUCUCGACCUAUUCUCAAACUUUAAAUCUGUAAGACCUGCAGGUUUCUUAAUUGAACUUGCGGAUGUGAAUAUCAAGUUGCUAGUGGGCCAUACGGGGUAAGCUCGUCUGGCGAUGCGGGAUGAACCGAACGCAAAGUUAAAGUGCCAAAGUACUCGCUCACCUAGAUACCAUAAAAGGUGUUGGUUCAUUUAGACAGCAGGA